CAGCAACACACUGUUUCAGCUACUGGCUCAGAUUCUCUGACUGGUUUUAAAGAUAAGGUGAACUAAAACCAUAGCAAGCUGGAUCCUUUCUAUCCAAGAGGAUUUUGAUGAAAUUGUUCUAAUUUACUACUGAAUCUAUGAGAUCCACUGCAUUCUUCCACAAAAAUAUAUAUGGGGCUGCUCAUUCUACUGAUUUGAUUGUUCACAUUAUGGUGUUGUAUUUUGUGAAGUCCAUCUCUGGGAGUCCUUCUGCUAAAAGCAAGGAAGAGUAUUCUACUCUUGUUAUCAAAAAGAUAGUAAGAGCAACACAAACCCACCAAACCAACCCUUACAUUGAUC
rnacentral:lncRNA from 1 species